AUCAACGCUGCCUCCUUCCUCAGCUGCCUGCAACAGUCCCAGCUCUCUGUUCGACUGCGAGUAACAACGCACUGAACUUCCGCGAUACUGGGGCUUCUCCAUGAGACAUCCAGGCCCACCAGAUCCUGGCUUUUUACUGAUAGUCUUUGCUUUAUCCCUGCCCCUCCAACACAGUCAGGUUAGUCCUUGGAGCCCUGAAAGGACGCGGUGAAGUGGUACCUGCAAAGGACCCAAAUGUAGACACUGAUCACAGGAGCUUGCAUUAAUCAGACAAAAGAACGAUCCAAGAUAAGUGCUCUAACCAAAGGUGAAGGGGUCAAUAUAAAGCAAAGGGAAGAAAUGAAACUGGAGAAAGAACCAAGGAAUGCAAAGCACAUCGCAGUGCCCUGCAGGUCGUACAAUUUCUUAGAAGACUGCCCUGGCUACUUAGAGGUAGAAGACAAGUGCAUCCAUCGGAUGUUUUAGCAUUCCACGGUUUCUAAAUCCAUCACAAUGCCACCCGCGAGGUCAAUGUCAAAAACAUGAAUUGAAAGUUCUGCAUUAAGUUCCAAGAAGAAACAGCUCAUUGUUUGAACAGG
rnacentral:lncRNA from 1 species